AGGUGGCCUGUGAGGGUUGCUGGAGGUAUCAGAAGUGCGAAUGCUGACAUAAGUAACGAUAAAGCGGGUGAAAAGCCCGCUCGCCGGAAGACCAAGGGUUCCUGUCCAACGUUAAUCGGGGCAGGGUGAGUCGACCCCUAAGGCGAGGCCGAAAGGCGUAGUCGAUGGGAAACGGGUUAAUAUUCCCGUACUUGGUGUUACUGCGAAGGGGGGACGGAGAAGGCUAUGUUGGCCGGGCGACGGUUGUCCCGGUUUAAGCGUGUAGGUGUGUGUUCCAGGUAAAUCCGGUUCACUUUAACACUGAGGCGUGACGACGAGGCACUACGGUGCUGAAGCAACAAAUGCCCUGCUUCCAGGAAAAGCCUCUAAGCAUCAGGUAACAUCAAAUCGUACCCCAAACCGACACAGGUGGUCAGGUAGAGAAUACCAAGGCGCUUGAGAGAACUCGGGUGAAGGAACUAGGCAAAAUGGUGCCGUAACUUCGGGAGAAGGCACGCUGACACGUAGGUGAAGUGAUUUACUCAUGGAGCUGAAGUCAGUCGAAGAUACCAGCUGGCUGCAACUGUUUAUUAAAAACACAGCACUGUGCAAACACGAAAGUGGACGUAUACGGUGUGACGCCUGCCCGGUGCCGGAAGGUUAAUUGAUGGGGUCAGCGCAAGCGAAGCUCCUGAUCGAAGCCCCGGUAAACGGCGGCCGUAACUAUAACGGUCCUAAGGUAGCGAAAUUCCUUGUCGGGUAAGUUCCGACCUGCACGAAUGGCGUAAUGAUGGCCAGGCUGUCUCCACCCGAGACUCAGUGAAAUUGAACUCGCUGUGAAGAUGCAGUGUACCCGCGGCAAGACGGAAAGACCCCGUGAACCUUUACUAUAGCUUGACACUGAACAUUGAGCCUUGAUGUGUAGGAUAGGUGGGAGGCUUUGAAGUGUGGACGCCAGUCUGCAUGGAGCCGACCUUGAAAUACCACCCUUUAAUGUUUGAUGUUCUAACGUGGACCCGUUACCCGGGUUGCGGACAGUGUCUGGUGGGUAGUUUGACUGGGGCGGUCUCCUCCUAAAGAGUAACGGAGGAGCACGAAGGUUGGCUAAUCCUGGUCGGACAUCAGGAGGUUAGUGCAAUGGCAUAAGCCAGCUUGACUGCGAGCGUGACGGCGCGAGCAGGUGCGAAAGCAGGUCAUAGUGAUCCGGUGGUUCUGAAUGGAAGGGCCAUCGCUCAACGGAUAAAAGGUACUCCGGGGAUAACAGGCUGAUACCGCCCAAGAGUUCAUAUCGACGGCGGUGUUUGGCACCUCGAUGUCGGCUCAUCACAUCCUGGGGCUGAAGUAGGUCCCAAGGGUAUGGCUGUUCGCCAUUUAAAGUGGUACGCGAGCUGGGUUUAGAACGUCGUGAGACAGUUCGGUCCCUAUCUGCCGUGGGCGCUGGAGAACUGAGGGGGGCUGCUCCUAGUACGAGAGGACCGGAGUGGACGCAUCACUGGUGUUCGGGUUGUCAUGCCAAUGGCACUGCCCGGUAGCUAAAUGCGGAAGAGAUAAGUGCUGAAAGCAUCUAAGCACGAAACUUGCCCCGAGAUGAGUUCUCCCUGAGACUUAGAGUCUCCUGAAGGAACGUUGAAGACGACGACGUUGAUAGGCCGGGUGUGUAAGCGCAGCGAUGCGUUGAGCUAACCGGUACUAAUGAACCGUGAGGCUUAACCUUACAACG
rnacentral:rRNA from 1 species